GAGAUGUAUGAAAAUGCUGGGCUCGAAGGCACAUUUGGGCUAAGGAUACACACACAGAUGACUUUGUAUUCCUGACACUCCUGCCAGGGAGCUGGGUUCCCAGGCUGCACCCCAGCUUCACCCUGAGUUUAAGCCACUUCAUCUGGAAGAUUCUGCGUUACACAUUGAACUUGCUCCGCAGGACCCAAGGGAGUGGAAAUAAGAGCGUUGUUGAGAAAUGAUUCUCUAAGGUGGUUUUUGUUUGUUGUUGUUGUUUUUUAAAUAAAUGGUGUCAGUCCAGCA